AAAGAUAUAGCAUAUUCUUCUGAACAUACUUUAUUAACCCAUGUCCGAGUACCUUACACCGUUGCCUUCCGCGAGGCUGUCCUCUACGGCCCUCUGAAGAUUUUAUCUUUGGGGAGUCCUUGCGGAAGGUAUACAAUAUAACUCUUGGCAUUACCAUGUCAUCUGUCUGAAUCUGUUUAAACAACAAAUAUUA
rnacentral:misc_RNA from 1 species